AGCUAGACUUGGAAUUUCUCCUCACUGUACAGAAACAAAAAUCAUUGCUUACAAGUAGUUAGUGUUAUGAAUUGUGUAUGGGUAUAUAAACUAUACAUUGGAAAAACAUAAUUUUUUAAGUUUAUAAUGUGGGGAAUAACUUUCUUUUUGAAUUUGAAGGAGGAGGAAAGAAAGAUUUAGAGGGAAGAACAAAGAUAUUAUUUAUAUGAAAUGAUAAAGAUAAAUGUUUUUUUUUUUUAAUGUCACUGGUCACAUGAGCACGUAUAAAAAUAAAAAUAAUAUUUAUUUUGCCUCAAGUCAAAUUAAAUGCAAAAUCAUCACUAAAAAGCCACUACAGAAACUUAUUAUAUUAGCUUAAAAAAAUAUAACAUGUUAAAAGUAUUGCUAGAUCAAUUUAGACCAAAAAACUGGCAUGCCCUCAAACAAAAAAGGAGGAUAACAUUCUAGCUCACGCCUGAUACAAGCAGCACAAAUUCCUCUACAUACAAGAAUGAUACAAGAAUGAAAAACUUUCGUCAAGUUCACCGAUUAUGGCUGUAUGGGUGUUCCAUACUUCCAAGACUUUUUAAGCUCUCUCUGGGAAAAUGAUGAUCAAACUGCUCAUUUUUCUAGGCAAUUCUUCAAAGGCAAAUCCAUCAUACAGAGUCCUUAUGAGCUUUUAUAUUCUUGUCUAAAGCCUUCACCUACUGUCCUCGGUCCUCAUUCAAGGCCUCUAAUGUCUUAAUGACAAGGUAAAAUGAAAUUUCUUGCAAGUUCACCAAG
rnacentral:misc_RNA from 1 species